UACGUAGGGGGCUAGCGUUGUCCGGAAUCAUUGGGCGUAAAGCGCGCGUAGGCGGCCCGGUAAGUCCGCUGUGAAAGUCAAAGGCUCAACCUUUGAAUGUCAGUGGAUACUGCCGGGCUAGAGUCCGGAAGAGGCGAGUGGAACUCCUGGUGUAGCGGUGGAAUGCGCAGAUAUCAGGAAGAACACCAACGGCGAAGGCAGCUCGCUGGGACGGUACUGACGCUGAGACGCGAAAGCGUGGGGAGCGAACAGG
rnacentral:rRNA from 1 species